CCCGCACAAGCGGUGGAGCAUGUGGUUUAAUUCGAAGCAACGCGAAGAACCUUUACCUGGUCUUGACAUCCACGGAAGUUUUCAGAGAUGAGAAUGUGCCUUCGGGAACCGUGAGACAGGUGCUGCAUGGCUGUCGUCAGCUCGUGUUGUGAAAUGUUGGGUUAAGUCCCGCAACGAGCGCAACCCUUAUCCUUUGUUGCCAGCGGUCCGGCCGGGAACUCAAAGGAGACUGCCAGUGAUAAACUGGAGGAAGGUGGGAUGACGUCAAGUCAUCAUGGCCCUUACGACCAGGGCUACACACGUGCUACAAUGGCGCAUACAAAGAGAAGCGACCUCGCGAGAGCAAGCGGACCUCAUAAAGUGCGUCGUAGUCCGGAUUGGAGUCUGCAACUCGACUCCAUGAAGUCGGAAUCGCUAGUAAUCGUGGAUCAGAAUGCCACGGUGAAUACGUUCCCGGGCCUU
rnacentral:rRNA from 1 species